GAUGAACGCUGGCGGCGUGCCUAAUACAUGCAAGUCGAGCGAACGGACGAGAAGCUUGCUUCCCUGAUGUUAGCGGCGGACGGGUGAGUAACACGUGGAUAACCUACCUAUAAGACUGGGAUAACUUCGGGAAACCGGAGCUAAUACCGGAUGAUAUUUUGAACCGCAUGGUUCAAAAGUGAAAGACGGUCUUGCUGUCACUUAUAGAUGGAUCCGCGCUGCAUUAGCUAGUUGGUAAGGUAACGGCUUACCAAGGCAACGAUGCAUAGCCGACCUGAGAGGGUGGUCGGCCACACUGGAACUGAGACACGGUCCAGACUCCUACGGGAGGCAGCAGUAGGGAAUCUUCCGCAAUGGGCGAAAGCCUGACGGAGCAACGCCGCGUGAGUGAUGAAGGUCUUCGGAUCGUAAAACUCUGUUAUUAGGGAAGAACAUAUGUGUAAGUAACUGUGCACAUCUUGACGGUACCUAAUCAGAAAGCCACGGCUAACUACGUG
rnacentral:rRNA from 1 species